rnacentral:snRNA from 1 species
GGAAGGUAAGCUGGCUGUGAUAUCUGUUACCCCACUGAUUUCCAGGGUGUAUUUGGAAUAUCUCUGGCUGGCUAAGCAGGUAUCCCCUUCCAUGUGAAUCCCUCCUGAAGCUACACACUCAGUCAUAGAGAAUGACCUUCCUCCACAGAGAAGGAUGUCCUUUGCCCAAGGGUAUGAAAAAGGUGGCACUAUCCUGCUAGAACAAUGAAAGGAAAGAAAAUGGAGCAGAAGAGAGUCUUAGUUCUGAGUGACU